CGUUCCCGGGCCUUGUACACACCGCCCGUCAAGCCAUGGAAGCUGGGGGUGCCUGAAGUCGGUGACCGCAAGGAGCUGCCUAGGGUAAAGCUAGUAACUAGGGCU
rnacentral:rRNA from 1 species